rnacentral:lncRNA from 1 species
AGCAUACAUGUCUACUAUAGCUUCCUCUUCCCCCAGAGUAAAGGACAGUUUCAGCAGCUUCUCUUUUACUAGAUAAUUAGUAGUAACAUCUAAACCUUUGGAACUACUUUCGAACUCAGAAGAGCAACUAGUUUUCCUCUUCCUUCGAUUUACCACCACACAAAUUUACCUGUGCAAUAACAAGAUUUGCAGAAAGCAUUGUCAGUUGUUGAUGAUCCAUCUCUAAAUAUGAUUAAUAAUCAGCCAAAGCAUAUCAGUGAUGUAUAUCAAAAUUCAUAAAUUUCAGAUAAAAGGGGAUAUAGAAGUGAGAAAAAUCUGGCAAAGGAGGGGAAAUUUAAAUUUUAGGGGUUAUUUUAUAAGAAUUAAAAAUAAUAGUAAAAAUGUCAAAUUUUCAAAACAAAAAGGGGCAAAUGCCCUCCAUAAAUUACACCUAGAUCCUCCACUAAGCACAAUACACAAAUCUGCCUGGAUUCCAUAUCCCAAUUUGGAAACUAUAUAACAAGGAAUUGCUUUCGAUGGAGAAUUUUUUACAACUGAAAGAGCUUUUUAUGGCUAAACCCAUCUGAAAAGUAUGUAUCGCAGACCAUCACGACGAUUAUGAAGCUCAAGUUAAAAUCAGAAGCUCGUUAACUGAUUGGACAUAAUGCAACCGAAAAGUUGUAAUGGAAAAAUUACUCAUUCGCUUGAAAAUAUAAAAGCAUUUUCUUUUGGUGUCCACGCUGUUGUUUUUCUGUUUUCUUUUGAGAAUAUAAAUGGAAUUGAGAAGAAGAAUUAAGGAGUUCAUGUUUUUUUGUUUUUUCAUUUAUGGUGCACAUAGAAGUUGCUUGUCCAAUCUUGGCAACGUUUUUCUAUGUUCUUUCUGCAAUAUAUAUGUUUCUUUUAUAGAAAUUAAAUGCGGGGAUUUAAAGUCCAAGACAUUUCCUAAACAUUGAGCAACAGAAAUUUUCAUGGCUAUAUGAGAAUUUGAAGACUUGAUUUAUGAAGCUGACUCAUUGUGCCUAAUAGUUACAACAAAAUUGACACUAUACCAUUACAUAAAGAAUAUGAAUUAUCCUCUUAAAAAUAAAUUAAACUCUAAAAUUUACCCAUAUUUUAGUCUUUAUACUUAUUUUUAUCUUCCUAGAACAGUGUUAUAUACACUUAAGUUGUGCACAUGAUAUCAAUAUGUUUAUGUUUCAAAGCAAGUUUUAAAAAUGUAUUAAAAGUAAAGUCCUAUUAGUUAUAACUCAUAAAAAGAUGUAAUUUUCGUGUAUCACUAACAGAUGCAUAUAUAUACACAAGUUAGGCAUUACUUUUUGGUUGAGCAUAUUCAAGUAGAAGUAAUUUAAUGUUUGUAAUCAAAUAAAUUUUUUAGUUGUGUUCGUGGCUGACAACCGUGCUGCUUAAUAUUACAAAAACAAGUGAAGUAGCCCAUGCAGACAUCUUCUUUUGGUGUAUCAUAUCAAGUACAAGGCAAGACGUUUUUGUUGCUGAAGACUGACCAAUAAAGCUAGCAGCAAAGGGUAUUAUUUUCCUUUUACCUAAACAAAAAGAAUCAUAACAAAUCUCUUACAAAAUUUUGACCUUAUUAUACCAUUAAUCAAUCAAUCAAGAUUCUGUCGAAAGGACCCGGUUCACAAUUAAUUACUAACCCAUAAAGUUUUAACCUUUAAUCAAUCAAAAACAGUUCUAUUGGGAGAACCCAGUUGAAAAUUCAUUACUAAUCCGUAAAGUUUGAACCUUUAGUCAAUCAAUUAAUUUUCAUUUGAGAUAACCCAAUUGAAAAUUAACUAUUAACCCACAAAGCUCUAACCUUAUAGUCAAUCAAUUAAAUUCUAUUGACAGAAGCCAGUUGAAAAUUCACCACUAACCAUAAAGUUUUAACCUUUACUCAAUCAAUUAAAUAUUUAUACCAAGCCAAAUUGAAUUUCUAUCACUAUGACAUAAAAGUUUAACAUGAUCUACCUAAUAUAACAAUAGUAGUUUAUAAUAGUAAUUGCUAAAGACCCUGCAGAAUCAUAAAUACAAAAGAUUACAAGGGUUGGGCAAAUAUUAUACAAAAAGAAGCCAAUGCAGCAAGAUUCACAUACAAAAAGUACAAAAACCCUAAACCCUUAUACCCAGAAUAUAUAUAUAUAUAUAUAUAUAUAUAUAUAUAUAUAUAUAUAUAUACCUCUUUGAUAUGAGUGAAUAAAAAAAUUUGCUUUUUUUGUUGUUG